rnacentral:rRNA from 1 species
GACGAACGCUGGCGGCGUGCCUAAUACAUGCAAGUCGAGCGAAUCAAUAGGAGCUUGCUCCUGUUGGUUAGCGGCGGACGGGUGAGUAACACGUGGGCAACCUGCCUGUAAGACUGGGAUAACACCGGGAAACCGGUGCUAAUACCGGAUAAUCCUUUUCCUCUCAUGAGGGGAAGCUGAAAGUCGGUUUCGGCUGACACUUACAGAUGGGCCCGCGGCGCAUUAGCUAGUUGGUGAGGUAACGGCUCACCAAGGCGACGAUGCGUAGCCGACCUGGGAGGGUGAUCGGCCACACUGGGACUGAGACACGGCCCAGACUCCUACGGGAGGCAGCAGUAGGGAAUCUUCCACAAUGGACGAAAGUCUGAUGGAGCAACGCCGCGUGAGCGAUGAAGGCCUUCGGGUCGUAAAGCUCUGUUGUUAGGGAAGAACAAGUAUCGGAGUAACUGCCGGUACCUUGACGGUACCUAACCAGAAAGCCACGGCUAACUACGUGCCAGCCGCCGCGGUAAGAC